rnacentral:rRNA from 1 species
UACGUAGGGUGCGAGCGUUAAUCGGAAUUACUGGGCGUAAAGCGUGCGCCGGUGGUCAUGCAAGACAGAUGUGAAAUCCCCGGGCUUAACCUGGGAACUGCAUUUGUGACUGCACGGCUAGAGUGCGGCAGAGGGGGAUGGAAUUCCGCGUGUAGCAGUGAAAUGCGUAGAUAUGCGGAGGAACACCGAUGGCGAAGGCAAUCCCCUGGGCCUGCACUGACGCUCAUGCACGAAAGCGUGGGGAGCAAACAGG